rnacentral:lncRNA from 1 species
GGCGAACAUGCAGAAGAAUUUGCAAUCUUCGUUGGGAUAAUAAUCCACUCGGCGCAUUGAAAGUUGGCCUACUUCAGUCAUCCUGUCGUCCGGUACCUGUCCGAAGCUCUAUCAAGUUGACAUGCCUUCCAACCUUGAUGCACGCCCGACACAUGCUCACAACAAUUUUCAACAAAUGUACCUGCCUAACUCAAGCGACGCAAGAGCAUCCGGUGGUAAGGCCCCAGAACGACUUUGAAACUGCUUUUACAAGUUACAUCAUAGUGUAUUUCAGUCACCGCUGCGACAGGCGACCACAGUGCUUCAGAAACGCUCCUUACUAUCAGCUGCCUCGCUCGCAAACCCUUUCGCAACAAGUUGCGUCCCUGGCGUGUGCGAGCUAUAGGGUAUUGGGUUAUCAACGGUUCUCAUUCACCCAACGCAAAAGCUCGUCAUGCCCAUAGGAUAAUAACGAGCGCUACCACAUGCAAUUACUGGCCCCAUGCACUAAGUACCAGAACGGAAAGAAUGAGGGCGGGCGCCACGUUCAAAACGCCACUAAGGACCACCUGGCCGGCUCCUCUCAGCGCAAUUCUCGGAGAAUAUGCAAUAGUAGUCCUAAGCAGUAGUACCUGUAAGCCGCGAGUUCGUAUUUACCUUUCAACCCUGAUGGGUGCCAUCAACUGCGAGGGCUGUUUAAAGGCACGCAGCGCAGAGAGGCGCUUCCCAUAUCCUGCCAGGCACGUGUUGUACUGCUCUCCAGUACCGCCGUAACCCCUACGACUUUCGAUGUGCAUGCAAUGCAAUAAAAGCAAACACCUCCAAGAAAACGCAAAAGAACCGGGUGGUGCCUGUUUCGUCCCCUCGACAUUGACCUUCACUUCGCUUCGUCAAUAAAUACAUAUACAUAGAACGGCAAAUGCGCACAACGUAAGGUUGACAUCGACAGCGCUGCUGCCCCGCGCUCUGACCUCAAACCGCCUCCCCAACGCAAGCAUCGUCUGGGCUCUCUUGCCGUAUCCCCUCCAUGUGUGUGUGUGUGUGUGUGUGUGUGUGUGUGUGUGUGUGUGUGUUCAACACACUGUGUUGCCACACGCCAUACAUCAACACGAAGGAGGGGGGAAAAUAGGAUGGAAAGAAAACACAACGUUGUGCCUCACUCCCGCCGCCUAACAAUUGGGCUCGGCACUGGUCCUCCCGGACCCCGGCGGCCCCCAUGGAUGAAUGCAUGCAUGCAGAGACACACGCAUGCAUGCAUGCAUGCACCACCGCCACCCCUACCAACACGCUUCGGAGUGUCGUCCAGGGCCGUGGUGGUUUGUCACUCACCCCCCAGCAACCAAUACCUCCAACCAGCUGAGCUGAACUACGACCGACCAGUCCACUCCAUCCGGCAAGCGGCAUUAAGCCUUGUAUGCAUAUGUGUAUGUGUAUGUGUAUGUGUAUAUUCCAGCCCCCUGCUUGGGCCCGGCCCCCAGCCCGCACUUCCCCUCCAGCACACAACCCCGAGGCGCCGUUGCUCAGUUGCAAACCCAUGCCGGAGACAUCUGCCGUACAUCCCGCCCUCCCUCCCUUGAAAACACCAUCACCACCGUACCGCCAGCCUGCCACAGUACCUUCUCGCCAUUUCUUAAUGCGGCUCAGAUCAAUAAAACACCUCUCGGACCAUAUAAGCACACACAGCGGAUGUUAGGGUCGUUCGACUUGAUAGGGUCCUCAGGCUGGUGGACACCGCCGCAGGUUCGCUGCAUCAUUCAUUCCCUGGCGGUGGGUGUGGUGGUGGUGGUGGCGGCGAGGGUCGUGGUAACGGUACUGGUGUGUGCUUGGACACACCAGUACUACCUGCCCCGAGGCGCCAGAGCCAGAGCCCUCACCCAGAGAGCCGGUGGAAAUCAGGUUGAGCGUGACGCCCGCAACCGGCCCCCCUGGAACACCCCCAUGGCCCCCCCUCGACCUCCCGGCAGAGGUGGCGUCAACGGACCUUCUUACACACACAUACAUACAUACAUACACACAAGAAAAAACACGCAUACGGAGAUGCGGUAGGGCGGCCCCAUUGCAUACAUACACACAUACACAUCACUUCACUGCAGAGCACCAGUCGGUGUCAGCUGGCGGCGUUUCCGACCCUCGAAAACGACCACGUCCCACCCACCCCCGCCGAGCGCCAUGUUCACCUGGCUUUCCCGCCAUCAUCAACACCUCCUCCUUCUCACCCCUUCCUGGUCGCGUGACUGAAAAAACUCCUCCUCCCCGCGAUGCCCCGCAUAUCCCACUCCAACUACCUUAACGGAACUCCAACUACCUCAACGGAACUCCAACUACCUCAACGAAGAACCCCUCAUCAGAACCCUUCUGCAGCGACAGCCUCAUCGAAUCUCACAGCGACAGCUUCGUAGCGUAGAGGUCCACUUGCUUGUCG